rnacentral:lncRNA from 13 species
CUGCAGCAGAAGUUGUGCCCAGCUGCAGUGAUGCACCUCCUCCACCAACAUAAAAAAGUAAGACACCGGAUGUUGAGGCCUGGAAGGGGUUGAGGGAGCUACUCCACAUGCCUGCAGUGGAGCUGGAAUGUCCUCCACCGAAAGCCAUCUGCAGUGUGUGUAGAGAUUUGGAGGAGGCUGAGCUAUGGCACUGUGGGGAUUGCGGCUCAGAUAAAUAUUUCUGUGCCACCUGUGCUGUGAGAACACACAGCGCUCCCAACAUCGUCCACCAUUUGGUGAUAUGGAAGAGAACACUUCAAAAUGAGAAGAUCCUGCCAUGGAAAAGACGACUGGGCGGACAUAAAGUGGAAAGGAGGGGAAAUAUCUCCCAGCAUGCAGCAGGACACCUUCAGCUGCUUGGUCUUUGUAAUGCAGAUGGCCAAGGAAGUUGCAUAGAACUUCCCCAACAUCCCUUCUCAAAUUCAUAUGGAACCUUCAAAAACAUAUGGAGCAACUGCAAAAAGAAAUGGCUGAGGAUAUACUAAAAAUGUCUGGUAUGUAAUGACAUUUAAUUCAAAGUAAAUGUCAAUUCUUUAUUUGUAUGUAGUUGUGUGGGACAGCCAUAUGAUUUCAGAGUUCAACAAAGCCAACAACUGCCUCAUGGGUGCCACUGAUAAAGAACCUGGAUGUGGCCCAAAGACUGACUGGGUUAGUAACUUUAUUUAACAUGUUUAUAAUCUUUUGACAACAGUGACGGCAUGUAAGACAAUUUAUGAUAUAACACAAUGGACAGCUAAUUUGUCAUUCGUCAUGCUGCAAUGAUAUUUGAUAUUAUUUAUAACCUGUUACUCUUUGUUUUCCUUCGAUUGAAUGUUUUGCAUGCCAACGGUGGUUCCAUGUGCUGUGCCUAGGAAUGAAGACAAAAGAGUUCAACAGAGUAAACAACACAAACUGUCAGUGCAGUCUUUGUUGUAAAUGUAUGCUAUACCCCAUCCACACUGAAGAGGCUCUGACAUGUACAUCAACCAGGGAUAAAGAGAAAGUUAACACUGUGAAAUGCUCCAUACUUAAUUAAAGUUGUGUCUGUUGACAUGUUGGAAAAGAUUAAAGAUCUACAAUUUUUGUUUAAUUUGUCAAUAUUCCAUUUUUAUUCAUUGAUUUACUGGCGUUACAUGUUCAGUAUAUGUAUUGACCAGCAAACCCACUGCAGCCUACCUCACUAGCUCACUCUCUGCUGUUGGUGGACAUAAAAGACAACUAUAGGCGAAUAUCCAACCUGAAACUGGUUUUUACCUCGGUCAGGAACCGUUGGUCAGCCUGCAAUAGUGAUUUUGGAUUUGUAAAAAAUACAUGUAGAGGCCAAUAAAUCAUCUGAACCAAUUAUGCUAAUCUGUUAUGUUAACUAUCCAAGCGUUGUAGUACACCCAGAAAUUAAGAGGCAAUUAAAUCCAGCUGUAAUGCGCCCGCGGGCUAGCAAUGUCAGUCAAGCCAGCUGAACACGAGUUGCCGGAGCUCGUUCAGAGGUAACUUAACAUUUAAAACUAGGUUAAUUGUUUUAAUUCAUUUAUGAGCUGCAAAUGCAAUGCUAAUUUAUUUCUUAAUUGCCAUUUUGCGUCCUCGGUCAACGAAGGUCCUCUUGUCGGCCAUGCUGCAAAUGUGAUCUCGCGUUAUGUCAUUGUCAAUACAGUAAAUCUACACCACGAUAUGAAAUGUUGAUUUGAUGAUAGUUCUCGAUUAUACCGACUGAUUGCUAUUGCAUGGUGUGCUCUGACAAGUCUGGGUGUGGUGCUAGUUUCAGUAUACUUGGGUGUAAGAGGGCGUUGUGCCAACCAAAGUAAUACACUACUAGUACUACAACCACAAUAUUUGCUACUAGGCUAAUUGCUGUCAAACUAAUGUACCAUUUCAAUUCAGUCAAUUCUGGAUGUGAACUGAUAUUCCUAUUUAAUAAUCCAUAAACAAAGAAUUAUGGCAUUUAGGAUUUGUUUAAAAUGUCCCCAUCUCAUACCUUCCCUUGUUUACUGCCUACAUACACCUCCCAUUCCACUGUCAUCCAUAAGCAUGACAGUGACAGUAAAUUACUGCAAUAGAAAAAGUUUGUUUACAGGACAUUUCAGAUCUGAAAUAAUGUCAUCACAUGACUCAUUUACAUAGGUUUAAUGCGUUAAACUUUCCUCGAGUAUGCUAUAUUACAGCGUAUUCCAAAUGAAUGUGUCUUACAGUAACCAUACAGUGGUUCACACAUACUGUAUAAGGACAUAUUUAACCUGUGAAGGGUUAGUAAGCACAAAGUACAUAGCACAGAUGGACACAAAAGACCACCUAACAUCAAUACAACGCCAAUAACCUUGGAACCCAAAACCAAUGUAUGUCACAAGAUUAUAUCGCCUAUUGCUCACUUCAAGUAUAAUAUAUCGCCCAUCUCAGUAGCCAGGGUACAACAAACUGUUUUCAAAUAUCAGAGUUAAAAAUGUUUGAACACAAAGGUAGAAAAAUAUGGCAAAUAUAAAAGGUUUUAAAUAUUUACAUUCUACUAAAACUGGGGUGUGAGGUUUUUCCCUGUCCACAUGAUCGGACCAGGAAAACUUCAGGUCCUAUACAUUCCUAGUCCGGUCAGGGAAAACUCCAGGCCCUAGUUACUUCUUAUAAAACCGCUU